ACAGCGCCGCGAUGGUCGCUUUCUGCUGCUCAAGUUUCACCAGU
rnacentral:sRNA from 1 species